AGAGUGAACGCUGGCGGCAGGCCUAAUACAUGCAAGUCGAACGGCAGCACGGCAGAGCUUGCUCUGUGGGUGGCGAGUGGCGGACGGGUGAGGAAUACAUGGGAAUCUGCCCAGUCGUGGGGGAUAACGUAGGGAAACUUACGCUAAUACCGCAUGCGCCCUUCGGGGGAAAGCCGGGGACCUUCGGGCCUGGCGCGAUUGGAUGAGCCCAUGUCGGAUUAGCUAGUUGGCGGGGUAACGCCCACCAAGGCGACGAUCCGUAGCUGGUCUGAGAGGAUGAUCAGCCACACUGGAACUGAGACACGGUCCAGGACUCC
rnacentral:rRNA from 1 species